rnacentral:rRNA from 1 species
AUUGAACGCUGGCGGCAGGCUUAACACAUGCAAGUCGAACGUGUGGCGGUCGGGUGAGUAAUGCUUGGGAAUCUAGCUUAUGGCGGGGGAUAACUACGGGAAACUGUAGCUAAUACCGCGUACCAUAGGUUGAGCCCAAGUGGGAUUAGGUAGUUGGUGGGGUAAAGGCUCACCAAGCCGACGAUCUCUAGCUGGUCUGAGUGGAUGACGAGCGAAACUGGGACUGAGACACGGACCGGAAUCCUAGGGGAGGCAGAAGUGGGGAAUAUUGCGCAAUGGGGGCAAGGUGACAGAGGCAUGCCGCGUGAAUGAAGAAGGCGUUCGGGUUGUAAAGUUCUUUAGGUAGCGAGGCGUUAACUACAGAAGAAGCACCGGCUAACUCCGUGCCAGCAGCCGCGGUAAUAC